GAUGAACGCUGGCGGCGUGCCUAAUACAUGCAAGUCGAGCGAACAGACGAGGAGCUUGCUCCUCUGACGUUAGCGGCGGACGGGUGAGUAACACGUGGAUAACCUACCUAUAAGACUGGGAUAACUUCGAGAAACCGGAGCUAAUACCGGAUAAUAUAUUGAACCGCAUGGUUCAAUAGUGAAAGACGGUUUUGCUGUCACUUAUAGAUGGAUCCGCGCCGCAUUAGCUAGUUGGUAAGGUAACGGCUUACCAAGGCGACGAUGCGUAGCCGACCUGAGAGGGUGAUCGGCCACACUGGAACUGAGACACGGUCCAGACUCCUACGGGAGGCAGCAGUAGGGAAUCUUCCGCAAUGGGCGAAAGCCUGACGGAGCAACGCCGCGUGAGUGAUGAAGGUCUUCGGAUCGUAAAACUCUGCUAUUAGGGAAGAACAAAUGUGUAAGUAACUAUGCACGUCUUGACGGUACCUAAUCAGAAAGCCACGGCUAACUACGUG
rnacentral:rRNA from 1 species